UACGUAGGGUGCGAGCGUUAAUCGGAAUUACUGGGCGUAAAGCGUGCGCAGGCGGCUUUGCAAGACAGAUGUGAAAUCCCCGGGCUCAACCCGGGAACUGCAUUUGUGACUGCAAGGCUAGAGUACGGCAGAGGGGGAUGGAAUUCCGCGUGUAGCAGUGAAAUGCGUAGAUAUGCGGAGGAACACCAAUGGCGAAGGCAAUCCCCUGGGGCUGUACUGACGCUCAUGCACGAAAGCGUGGGGAGCAAACAGG
rnacentral:rRNA from 1 species